ACCUAAAACAAUUUCUAAAUA
rnacentral:snRNA from 1 species